rnacentral:misc_RNA from 1 species
GGAAGUAAAGUCGUAACAAGGUCUCCGUUGGUGAACCAGCGGAGGGAUCAUUACAGAGUUGCAAAACUCCCCAAACCAUCGCGAACGUUACCCGUUUACAACUCGUUGCCUCGGUGGGCGGCUCCAGGGCGGAGCCGCAGCCCCCCUUCGCUGGGGGCGCCCGCCGCAGGAGACGCACACUCAACUCUUUUAAUCUCCACGAGUCUCUCUGAGUCUUUAUACAAAUAAGUUAAAACUUUCAACAACGGAUCUCUUGGUUCUG